rnacentral:tRNA from 1 species
CAAAAAGUAGUUUAAGUAAAAUAGUAGUUUUGGGUACUACAGAUGAGUAGUUCUUUUUGA